rnacentral:tRNA from 1 species
AUUUGAAUAAUUUAUAUAAAAUAUUGAUUUGUGGUAUCAAAAAAAUGAAUGAAAUCAUUUCAAA